rfam:TPA: Bos taurus chromosome 19, whole genome shotgun sequence.
UCCCUGGUGGUCCAGUGGUUAAGACUCUGUGCUCCCAAUGCUGGGGGCCUGGGUUCCAUCUCCAGUCAGGGAA